GACGAACGCUGGCGGCGUGCUUAACACAUGCAAGUCGAACGGAAAGGCCUGCUUUCCCUUGUGGAUUGCGGGUACUCGAGUGGCGAACGGGUGAGUAACACGUGAGUGAUCUGCCCCCAACCUGGGUAUAAGCCUGGGAAACUGGGUCUAAUUCCCGAUAGGACUGCAGGGUGGUGCCUGUGGUGGAAAACGAUUUUCUAGUGGUUGGGGAUGAGCUCGCGGCCUAUCAGCUUGUUGGUGGGGUAAUGGCCUACCAAGGCGGCGACGGGUAGCCGGCCUGGGAGGGUGGACGGCCACAUUGGGACUGAGAUACGGCCCAGACUCCUACGGGAGGCAGCAGUGGGGAAUAUGGCACAAUGGGCGGAAGCCUGAUGCAGCGACGCCGCGUGGGGGAUGACGGCCUUCGGGUUGUAAACUCCUUUCGACCGCGAGGAAGCCACCUGGUUGGAAGGGUGGUGACGGUAGUGGUAGAAGAAGCACCGGCUAACUACGUG
rnacentral:rRNA from 1 species